rnacentral:rRNA from 1 species
GCCAAGUGCGGAGCGGAUAACCGCUGAAAGCAUCUAAGUGGGAAGCCCACCUCAAGAUGAGUACUCUCAUGACAAAAGUCAGUAAGGUCACCUGUAGAUUACAGGUUCAUAGGCGGUAGGUGCAAGUGCAGUAAUGUAUGCAGCCGAGCCGUGCUAACAGACCGAGGGCUUGACCUUA